CCAAAGGCCCUUUUCAGGGCCACCCAUCCGUUCACUCCAAAAGAGU
rfam:Equus caballus chromosome 20, whole genome shotgun sequence.